GACGAACGCUGGCGGCGUGCUUAACACAUGCAAGUCGAGCGGUAAGGCCCUUUCGGGGGUACACGAGCGGCGAACGGGUGAGUAACACGUGGGUGACCUGCCCUCAGCUCUGGGAUAAGCCCGGGAAACCGGGUCUAAUACUGGAUAUGACUCCAUGACGCAUGUUGUGGGGUGGAAAGCCUUGUGCGGCUGAGGAUGGGCCCGCGGCCUAUCAGCUUGUUGGUGGGGUGAUGGCCUACCAAGGCGACGACGGGUAGCCGGCCUGAGAGGGCGACCGGCCACACUGGGACUGAGACACGGCCCAGACUCCUACGGGAGGCAGCAGUGGGGAAUCUUGCGCAAUGGGCGAAAGCCUGACGCAGCGACGCCGCGUGAGGGAUGACGGCCUGGUU
rnacentral:rRNA from 1 species